UACGGAGGAUCCAAGCGUUAUCCGGAAUUACUGGGCGUAAAGAGUUGCGUAGGUGGCAGGGCAAGUAGGUAGUGAAAGCGUUCCGCUCAACGGAAUACACAUUACCUAAACUGCCCAGCUAGAGAAUGGUAGAGGUUACUGGAAUUCCCGGUGUAGGAGUGAAAUCCGUAGAUAUCGGGAGGAACACCAAUGGCGUAGGCAGGUAACUGGGCCAUUUCUGACACUAAGGCACGAAAGCGUGGGGAGCAAACGGG
rnacentral:rRNA from 1 species